rnacentral:rRNA from 1 species
CCUACGGGAGGCAGCAGUAAGGAAUAUUGGACAAUGCUCGCAAGAGUGAUCCAGCCAUGCCGCGUGCAGGAAGAAUGCCCUAUGGGUAGUAAACUGCUUUUGAACUAGAGAAAACCCCAGUACGUGUACUGGGCUGAUAGUAUAGUUAGAAUAAGCAUCGGCUAACUUCGUGCCAGCAGCCGCGGUAAGACGAAGGAUGCAAGCGUUAUCCGGAUUCAUUGGGUUUAAAGGGAGCGUAGGUGGACUGAUAAGUCAGUGGUGAAAUCUCCGAGCUUAACUCGGAAAUUGCCAUUGAUACUGUUGGUCUUGAGUACAGUUGCUGUGGGCGGAAUAUGACAUGUAGUGGUGAAAUACAUAGAGAUGUCAUAGAACACCGAUUGCGAAGGCAGCUCACAAAGCUGUAACUGACACUGAGGCUCGAAAGUGCGGGGAUCAAACAGGAUUAGAUACCCUGGUAGUCCGCACCGUAAACGAUGAUUACUCGCUGCUAGGGGGCAACCUUUAGUGGCUUAGCGAAAGCGAUAAGUAAUCCACCUGGGGAGUACGUCGGCAACGGUGAAACGUUAAAUGAAUUGACGGCGNGAGAGNGCGAGGACGACACGAGGGAGGAGG